UGGCGGACGGGUGAGUAACGCGUGGGUAACCUGCCCUGUACAGGGGGGAGUAACAGUCAGAAAUGACUGCUAAUACCGCAUAAGACCACAGCACCGCAUGGUGCAGGGGUAAAAACUACCGGUGGUACAGGAUGGACCCGCGUCUGAUUAGCUGGUUGGUGAGGUAACGGCUCACCAAGGCGACGAUCAGUAGCCGGCUUGAGAGAGUGAACGGCCACAUUGGGACUGAGACACGGCCCAAACUCCUACGGGAGGCAGCAUG
rnacentral:rRNA from 1 species